AUUGAUUGGUGCUUGCAUCAUGAUUUACAUUUGAGUGAGUGGCGAACUGGUGAGUAACACGUGGGAAACCUGCCCAGAAGCGGGGGAUAACACCUGGAAACAGAUGCUAAUACCGCAUAACAACUUGGACCGCAUGGUCCGAGUUUGAAAGAUGGCUUCGGCUAUCACUUUUGGAUGGUCCCGCGGCGUAUUAGCUAGAUGGUGGGGUAACGGCUCACCAUGGCAAUGAUACGUAGCCGACCUGAGAGGGUAAUCGGCCACAUUGGGACUGAGACACGGCCCAAACUCCUACGGGAGGCAGCAGUAGGGAAUCUUCCACAAUGGACGAAAGUCUGAUGGAGCAACGCCGCGUGAGUGAAGAAGGGUUUCGGCUCGUAAAACUCUGUUGUUAAAGAAGAACAUAUCUGAGAGUAACUGUUCAGGUAUUGACGGUAUUUAACCAGAAAGCCACGGCUAACUACGUGCCAGCAGCCGCGGUAAUACGUAGGUGGCAAGCGUUGUCCGGAUUUAUUGGGCGUAAAGCGAGCGCAGGCGGUUUUUUAAGUCUGAUGUGAAAGCCUUCGGCUCAACCGAAGAAGUGCAUCGGAAACUGGGAAACUUGAGUGCAGAAGAGGACAGUGGAACUCCAUGUGUAGCGGUGAAAUGCGUAGAUAUAUGGAAGAACACCAGUGGCGAAGGCGGCUGUCUGGUCUGUAACUGACGCUGAGGCUCGAAAGUAUGGGUAGCAAACAGGAUUAGAUACCCUGGUAGUCCAUACCGUAAACGAUGAAUGCUAAGUGUUGGAGGGUUUCCGCCCUUCAGUGCUGCAGCUAACGCAUUAAGCAUUCCGCCUGGGGAGUACGGCCGCAAGGCUGAAACUCAAAGGAAUUUGACGGGGGCCCGCACAAGCGGUGGAGCAUGUGGUUUAAUUCGAAGCUACGC
rnacentral:rRNA from 2 species